AUGUACCUACGGGGCGCAGCAGUAGGGAAUCUUCCACAAUGGACGAAAGUCUGAUGGAGCAACGCCGCGUGAGUGAAGAAGGGUUUCGGCUCGUAAAGCUCUGUUGGUAGUGAAGAAAGAUAGAGGUAGUAACUGGCCUUUAUUUGACGGUAAUUACUUAGAAAGUCACGGCUAACUACGUGCCAGCAGCCGCGGUAAUACGUAGGUGGCAAGCGUUGUCCGGGUUUAUUGGGCGUAAAGCGAGUGCAGGCGGGUCAA
rnacentral:rRNA from 1 species